CGGAAUGGCCUGCACGAGGACAUCUUUCAAUGGCUCCUGGCCAACUGGCGGCAGAAUUUUCCCUUCCUGUGCAUGAAUGACCUUGGAUAUUAUUCUUGGUGGCAUGACUGGACACCUGCAGCCUCUCGAUGUUUCCAGUCAAAAAGUUUGCAGAGGAUGCAGCAGGUGAGUCCUGUAGACAUCAGAGGGGCUUCGACGCUGCACAGCUGCCACUCCGGGGGACACUGCUGGCCUUAAUCACAUCAUGGAGACCACAAGGAUGCUGGGAAUGCACUUCCCAUUGGCCGAGCUGAGGAUAUGAGCAGGCUAUGGCUUGAAUAUCUAGCUGCCUCCCAGGCCUUCCACUGAUGGGACUCUCAGCUUCUCAAAUUCAUCAUAUCCAAAUCAGAAUUCAUUCUUCUCCUUCUUGCACUUCAUCUCCCC